rnacentral:rRNA from 1 species
AACGGAGAGGACGAGUGUUACUCAUAAUGACUGGGCGUAAAGGGUACGUAGAUCAUCAAUUUAGCUGUUAAAGUUUUAAAUUUAUAAUUUUUAAAGUUUAACAGAACGUUUUGAUUUGAGUGUUAUUAUUCGGAGGACAGUGGUACUUUUAGUGGAAGGGUGAAAUCUAGUGAUACUAAAGGGACGACCGGAGGCGAAGGCGACUGUCUACGUGACACUGACAUUGAGGUACUGAAGCAUAGGGAUCAAAUCGG